CAGCCGCCGCGGGAAUACAGAGGGUGCGAGCGUUAAUCGGAUUUACUGGGCGUAAAGCGUGCGUAGGCGGCUUUUUAAGUCGGAUGUGAAAUCCCUGAGCUUAACUUAGGAAUUGCAUUAGAUACUGGGAAGCUAGAGUAUGGGAGAGGAUGGUAGAAUUCCAGGUGUAGCGGUGAAAUGCGUAGAGAUCUGGAGGAAUACCGAUGGCGAAGGCAGCCAUCUGGCCUAAUACUGACGCUGAGGUACGAAAGCAUGGGGAGCAAACAGGAUUAGAUACCCGCGUAGUCCCUGUCUCUUAUAC
rnacentral:rRNA from 1 species